CCACUGCAAGUUCUGCCAUGUUGAAUUUCUGUGGUGCCUGGUCAGUUGUUUAACUGUUCUUUUAUAAAGAUUCCCUCUGCUUUUGGGAUUUGUUGGUCAUUGGGCUACGACUGCUGGAGAUAUGAAAUGUUGCUUGGGUAUCUGCCCUUUUAAGUAGGAGAACGGUGUCUGACACAUGGAUGUGUGCAGCCAUACUUGGUGUUUUUAUGUAUUUCUGCAUGAAAUGCUGUUUUAAACUGUGAGGUCACAUUAAUUGAGGGCUGCUCGGGUCUUGGAGCAUCGUAGGUCCUGCUGCAGACCUGAAUGUAUUGUGAAGUGCCCUGUUAACCCCUUCACUGCCAGGAAGCCAUUUUCAGGGAGGGAUAUGCACAAAUAGGGUAACAGUUUUUUCCCUCCCAUCCAUUCUAAUUUAACGACUGCUA